rnacentral:tRNA from 1 species
AGCUCAGUUGGUUAGAGCACCACCUUGACAUGGUGGGGGUCGGUGGUUCGAGUCCACUC